GACGAACGCUGGCGGCGUGCUUAACACAUGCAAGUCGAACGAUGAAGCUAGAGCUUGCUCUGGUGAAUUAGUGGCGAACGGGUGAGUAACACGUGAGUAACCUGCCCCGAACUCUGGGAUAACUGCUGGAAACGGUAGCUAAUACUGGAUACGACCUACGAAGGCAUCUUCUGUAGGUGAAAAGAAUUUCGGUUCGGGAUGGACUCGCGGCCUAUCAGCUUGUUGGUGAGGUAAUGGCUCACCAAGGCGACGACGGGUAGCCGGCCUGAGAGGGUGACCGGCCACACGUGGACUGAGACACGGCCCAGACUCCUACGGGGGGCAGCAGUGGGGAAUAUUGCACAAUGGGCGCAAGCCUGAUGCAGCAACGCCGCGUGAGGGAUGACGGCCUUCGGGUUGUAAACCUCUUUUAGUAGGGAAGAAGCGAAAGUGACGGUACCUGCAGAAAAAGCACCGGCUAACUACGUGCCAGCAGCCGCCGUAA
rnacentral:rRNA from 1 species